UCGUCGCUGUCUUUGUCUCAGCGGAGUCUUCUACUGGAGCGGAGGAUUUUAAAAGGGUUUUA
rnacentral:sRNA from 1 species